AGCUUCAAGAAUACGCGGAGGAGGUGGCCCGGGUCGGCGUCGGCGCCGUCCGGCGCGGGCCACGGGCCCGCUUCCAAGUGCGUCUGCGCGCCGGCCACCCACGCCGGGUCCUUCAAGUGCCGCUUCCACCGCACCAACUCCCAGGGCCACGGCCACAGCCAAGGCCAGGGAAGCCGCCCUUCUUCGCCCCCUUCACCGGCCAUGGCCAACGCGGUGCCACGACACCCGGCCUCGCCGUCCUCGUCCUCCGACACCGUCGCGACCCAGUGA
rnacentral:rRNA from 1 species